UUCAAGAAACAUAUUCCAUUGGGGGUGAUGCUUCUCCACAGGGGUUGCUCUCUCAGUUAAAUUUCCAAAACUACUGGUAUUAGUAUUCUUCUCUUCCUCUUCUUCUUUUUUCACCUUUUGUUGAGCAUCAUCCUCUUCUUGAUUUUUGAGAUCCCUUUCAUUUUCAGAAAUUGCCUCUUGUUCCUGUCCAUGGUCUGCUAUAUUUACCAAUGGUGAACUGAAUUGUUCCUGUCUCUUUAAGAGAUCUCUCAUGCCUCCAAGAAUUUCCAAGUAACUUAACACCUUCUCACGGAAGGCUGUUGAAUAGGGUGCAGGCAUUUUUUCUUAACCGCAAGCAGAGUGAAGAUAAGAAGACAGCAGACACUGGAAAAUUCCUUCCUCAAAAACGCUUGUUGUUUCACAAAUAAAACUGAGAGGAUGGAGGAGCCAGCGCCUGAAAUGCCUGCAGCACCGGUGGAAGCACCAGCAGAAGCACCAGUGGAGGCAAACCCACCAGCUGAUGGUGCAACUGAGAGGAAGGGAGAGUCCGGAAAUGAUGAAGCACCCGGAAAGCAUCCAGCAACACUAAAACAAACUGUUGCAUCUUCUUUUCAGGAGAUCGUUACCUUCUUAACAUCUCCAAGGGGUGAAAGAUUUAUCGUACUUGAGAUUUUCGUCGUUACUGCCAUGACGCUGCUGCUUUACCUUCUAUGUAAGUACAUAAUUAGCAUACUUUGCAACUAAUGUCACAGGCUUUGCUUAAAUGCCAAUAGCAUUUCCCAAAAGAGAUGGCAGGACCCACCUGUUCGGAAACACCAUGGAGAUGCUAGGGCUCCG